rnacentral:rRNA from 1 species
CGUAGGGUGCGAGCGUUGUCCGGAAUUAUUGGGCGUAAAGAGCUCGUAGGCGGUUUGUCGCGUCGGCCGUGAAAACUUGGGGCUUAACCCCGAGCCUGCGGUCGAUACGGGCAGACUUGAGUUCGGCAGGGGAGACUGGAAUUCCUGGUGUAGCGGUGAAAUGCGCAGAUAUCAGGAGGAACACCGGUGGCGAAGGCGGGUCUCUGGGCCGAUACUGACGCUGAGGAGCGAAAGCGUGGGGAGCGAACAGGAUUAGAUACCCUGGUAGUCCACGCCGUAAACGGUGGGUGCUAGGUGUGGGGGACUUCCACGUUCUCCGUGCCGCAGCUAACGCAUUAAGCACCCCGCCUGGGGAGUACGGCCGCAAGGCUA